UGCGUAGGCCGCGCGGAGGGUGGGAUGUGAAAUCCCCCGGCUCAACCGGGGAAUAGCGUCCCAAACCGCCGUGCUCGAGGGAGACAGAGGUGAGCGGAACUGAUGGUGGAGCGGUGAAAUGCGUUGAUAUCAUCAGGAACACCAGUGGCGAAAGCGGCUCACUGGGUCUUUCCUAACGCUGAGGCACGAAAGCUAGGGGAGCGAACG
rnacentral:rRNA from 1 species